rnacentral:rRNA from 1 species
GCACAACGCGAAGAACCUUACCUAGGCUUGAACUCCUACGAACCUGUUGUAAUGGACGGGGUGCCCGCAAGAGAAUGUAGUGAGAGGUGCUGCAUGGCUGUCGUCAGCUCGUGUUGUGAAAUGUUGGGUUAAGUCUCGCAACGAGCGCAACCCCUAUCGUCUGUUGCCAGCAUUUAGUUGGGCACUCUGACGAGACUGCCUGGGUUAACCAGGAGGAAGGUGGGGAUGACGUCAAGUCCUCAUGGCCCUUAUGUCUAGGGCUACACACGUAAUACAAUGGCGCGUACAAUGGGAAGCGAACUAGUGAUAGGGAGCAAAUCUCAAAAAGCGCGCCUCAGUUCGGAUUGGAGUCUGCAACUCGACUCCAUGAAGUUGGAAUCGCUAGUAAUCGGAGAUCAGCACGCUCCGGUGAAUACGUUCCCGGGUCUUGUACACACCG